rnacentral:scRNA from 1 species
UCGUAAACAUUUGUUAAGUACGUAUUUCAUUAGAAAAAUUGGUACCCGCCUCCGGGAUUCGAACAUCUGUGCAUCGCUCAACACGAAUGCACCGAACGUCUUAUCC